rnacentral:rRNA from 1 species
AGUGAACGCUGGCGGCAGGCCUAACACAUGCAAGUCGAACGGCAGAACAGAAAGAGCUUGUUGAUUCGGGGGGCGAGUGGUGGAUGGGGGCGGAAAAUCUCGGUAGUUAUGUUUGCGAAGGGGCGGAAGCAGGGAAUAAUACGGCAUUACCGCUUACGAAGUAAGGGUGGAAGCUGGGGAUCUUCGGAUAUCGCGUGAUCGAAUGAGGGGAUGUCGGAUUAGCUAGUUGGCGGGGUAAAGGCCCAACAAGGCGACGAUCCGUAGCUGGUCUGAGAGGAUGAUCAGCCACACUGGAACUGAGACACGGUCCAGACUCCUACGGGAGGCAGCAGUGGGGAAUAUUGGACAAUGGGCGCAAGCCUGAUCCAGCCAUACCGCGUGUGUGAAGAAGGCCUUCGGAUUGUAAAGCCCUUUUGGUUGGGAAGAAGAGCAGCAAGUUAAUACCCCGCUGUUCUGACGGUACCCACAGAAUAAGCACCGGCUAACUUCGUG